AAUCAAUAAACAGACCGCAACAAGAAGAACUAAAUAGCAUCAACACUGCCAUUUAGUAGCGUUUUUUUUUUUUUUUU
rnacentral:misc_RNA from 1 species